rnacentral:rRNA from 1 species
AAUCAACGCUGGCGGCGUGCCUCAGACAUGCAAGUCGAACGAUUAAAGCUCUCUUCGGAGAGUGCAUAGAGUGGCGCACGGGUGAGUAACACGUAAGUAAUCUACCUUUGAGUGGGGAAUAACACCGAGAAAUCGGUGCUAAUACCGCAUAACAUCCUGCCUUUGAACAGGCGGUGAUCAAAGCCGGGGAUCGCAAGACCUGGCGCUUGAUGAGGGGCCCGCGUCUGAUUAGCUAGUUGGUGAGGUAAUGGCCCACCAAGGCAACGAUCAGUAUCCGGCCUGAGAGGGCGGACGGACACACUGGGACUGAGACACGGCCCAGACUCCUACGGGAGGCAGCAGUGGGGAAUUGUUCGCAAUGGGCGCAAGCCUGACGACGCAACGCCGCGUGGAGGAUGAAGUCUUCGGAUUGUAAACUCCUGUUGCUCGGGACGAAUGGCUCCGGCC